rnacentral:rRNA from 1 species
ACGGAACCCGUGGAAUGGACCCCACACCUAGUACCCACCGUUUACAGCGUGGACUACCAGGGUAUCUAAGCCUGUUCGCUCCCCACGCUUUCGCUCCUCAGCGUCAGGAAAGGCCCAGAGAACCGCCUUCGCCACUGGUGUUCCUCCUGAUAUCUGCGCAUUCCACCGCUCCACCAGGAAUUCCAUUCUCCCCUACCUUCCUCAAGUCAACCCGUAUCGAAAGCACGCUCAGGGUUAAGCCCCAAGAUUACACUUCCGACGCGAUCAACCACCUACGAGCCCUUUACGCCCAAUAAAUCCGGACAACGCUCGCACCCUACGUAUCACCGCGGCUGCUGGCACGUAGUUAGCCGGUGCUUCUUUACCCAUUACCGUCACUCACGCUUCGUCACAGGCGAAAGCGGUUUACAACCCGAAGGCCGUCAUCCCGCACGCGGCGUUGCUGCAUCAGGCUUCCGCCCGUUGUGCAAUAUUCCCCACUGCUGCCUCCCGUAGGAGUCUGGGCCGUAUCUCAGUCCCAAUGUGGCCGGUCACCCUCUCAGGCC